rnacentral:rRNA from 1 species
AACGGUCCAGACUCCUACGGGAGGCAGCAGUGGGGAAUUUUGGACAAUGGGCGCAAGCCUGAUCCAGCAAUGCCGCGUGAGUGAAGAAGGCCUUCGGGUUGUAAAGCUCUUUUGUCAGGGAAGAAACGGUGGAGGUUAAUACCUUCUGCUAAUGACGGUACCUGAAGAAUAAGCACCGGCUAACUACGUGCCAGCAGCCGCGGUAAUACGUAGGGUGCAAGCGUUAAUCGGAAUUACUGGGCGUAAAGCGUGCGCAGGCGGUUUUAUAAGUUUGUCGUGAAAGCCCCGGGCUCAACCUGGGAAUGGCGAUGAAGACUGUAAGGCUAGAGUGUGUCAGAGGGGGGUAGAAUUCCACGUGUAGCAGUGAAAUGCGUAGAUAUGUGGAGGAACACCGAUGGCGAAGGCAGCCCCCUGGGAUAACACUGACGCUCAUGCACGAAAGCGUGGGGAGCAAACAAGAUUAGAUACCCUGGUAGUCCACGCCCUAAACGAUGUCUACUAGUUGUCGGGUUUUAAUUAACUUGGUAACGCAGCUAACGCGUGAAGUAGACCGCCUGGGGAGUACGGUCGCAAGAUUAAAACUCAAAGGAAUUGACGNAA